rnacentral:rRNA from 1 species
GUCGAAUGCUGGCGGCGUGUCUAAGGCAUGCAAGUCGAACGAUCCCUUCGGGGAUAGUGGCAAACGGGAGAGUAACACAUUGGUAACUUACCCUGAACUCGCGAACAACCCAUGGAAACGUGGGCUAAUACGCGAUAUCGAUGGGGGGACGCAAGUCAUUCCCAUUGAAAGUUCCGACGGUUCAGGAGAGGCCUAUGUCCUAUCAGCUAGUCGGUGAGGUAAAAGCUCACCAAGGCUACGACGGGUACCGGGCGUGAGAGCGUGACCCGGCUCACUGGGACUGAGACACUGCCCAGACUCCUACGGGAGGCUGCAGUCGAGAAUCUUCCGCAAUGCACGAAAGUGUGACGGAGCGACGCCGCGUGUCGGAUGAAGGCCUC